GGGUGACAGGGAGACAGGUGGUGCAUGGUUGUCGUCAGCUCGUGUCGUGAGAUGUUGGGUUAAGUCCCGCAACGAGCGCAACCCCUAUUGUUAGUUGCCAUCAUUCAGUUGGGCACUCUAGCGAGACUGCCGGUAAUAACCGGAGAAGUGGGAUGACGUCAAAUCAUCAUGCCCCUUAUGACCUGGGCUACACACGUGCUACAAUGGUUGGUACAACGAGUUGCGAGUCGGUGACGGCGAGCUAAUCUCUUAAAGCCAAUCUCAGUUCGGAUUGUAGGCUGCAACUCGCCUACAUGAAGUCGGAAUCGCUAGUAAUCGCGGAUCAGCACGCCGCGGUGAAUACGUUCCCGGGCCUU
rnacentral:rRNA from 1 species